GAGUUCCACCCAUUCAGCGUUGCUGACCACAACACCGCCUUGAGCUCUCACUGUGCGGGCGCCAAGUACCAUCGCCAUCACUGGCAGGGUCCCCCUGCUUAUGAAGAGGGCACUGAGAGGCGUGGCUUUAUGUUCCUUCCUGAGAUGACACAUGCAGCCAGAGAGGUGCUGACUGGUCCUCCUGCCCAGGCUGUGCUCAAUAACGCAACUCCCAGGACUGCAGAGGGAUCUCACCACUAACACCACCAGAAGCCGGCACCACUAACACCACCAGAAGCCAGCAGACAAAACAAUGAAACAGCCCUUUGAUGGGUAACCCAGGGCCAGGAAUACAUAUGUCUUGAAAGGAGCAGGGAAUGUAUGUCCACCUUCCAUUCCAUCUGCAUCCCUGAUAUCUUGGAACUGCAUGUCCUGAUGUCAAUCAUUCUCCUUCUCCCAGACUGCGACAUGUGGGGACUAAAACUUAGAAAAUGGAGCAACUUUCUACCUCUCAAAAGAUGCUGAAAGUGAAAUGACUUGAAAUACCCACCCCAUGGCCUCUGGACAGAGAGGGGGUGAGUCUCUGCUGUCGCUGCUGGGCCAUGUGGGAAUCUCAGGGUCCCAUUGAUCAGAACUCUGAGCACUCAGGCCUGGGGCACCUAUGGGGGAUGCUACCACCUUGUCCCAAAAGCUGAGGAGAAGGAAGGACAAGGACAUCUCUCUCCACUCCUGCAACAGCAGGGAAGACAACCCUCAGGGCUCCCCCGCCCAGGCUUCUAGAAAUCCCUGAGGAGCCUUGGCUCCCUUUCUCUCUGUCCUGCUCACCUCCCACCUGUAAGGUGAGGAUAAUCUGAGUGUCUGCAAAGUGAGAUGAAGCAUGUCAACGCUCAGAAGGCUCUCGGCACCCAAUAAACACAAUGUUGGCUCAUA